UCAGUCACGUGAUGUGUGACGGUCGCUGCUGUGCGUCCCAAGAUGGCGCCGCCCAUAGUCCUGAUCUUUUAUCAUUGGAGCGGUGACAGCCGGGUGUGAGCUCACGCGCCGGGACAUGGCGGGGCUGGUGGACUUCAAAAACGAGGAGGAAGUGAAGGAAUAUUUGGAUAAUUUGGGCGUGGAGUAUUCCUACCAGUGUCACCGGGAGCGGCAGCCGGAUGGCUGCCAUCGAUUAGCCGAGUAUUUAGAAAAUAUAAAAAAAGACUUCAAGGCGACAGCACAAGUGCUGAAAGUGAACUGCGAGGAGAACGCUCACAGCGAGAGCUGCUACAAACUGGGGGCGUAUUAUGUGGCUGGGAAAGGGGGAGUGCCGGUGGACCUGAAAGCUGCAUAUAAUUGCUUCCUGAAAUCCUGUAACACAGAUGGGAAGAAGUCUGUUGAAUCCUGCCACAACGUUGGAUUGCUGCUACACGAUGGACGCAUGAACGAUGAGAGACCUGACCCUGUUACCGCCAGAGAUUAUUAUAAUAAGGCAUGUGAAGGGAAAUUUGCUGCAAGCUGCUUUAACCUGAGUACUAUGUACCUGGAGGGAUCUCCUGCGUUGCCCCAGGAUAUGAGUCUGGCUCUGCAUUUCUCUAAGAGAGCCUGUGACUUGGGACAUAUGUGGGGAUGCGCUAACGCCAGCCGGAUGUACAAACUGGGGGAUGGUGUUGGUAAAGAUGAUGCUCAGGCAGAAACCCUGAAACGUCGCGCUCAGGAGCUGCACCGGAAGCAGCAGGAGGCGCAGCAGAUAACCUUCGGGGAGUGAAGCGCAGCCACACCCACCCAGACUGACGAGAAGCCGGUUGUUUAUGGCUGCAGUGACCAUACAGUGCCCGUGGGAGCCUCACACUCUGUGUCUUCUAGUCCUGGGAACAGCAUCUUUCCGCAACAACAGCAACACAGUGACAUGGAGGAGACAAACAUCUUAGAA